GUACACGCUGUGACUAGCAUAUCAAUAAGCGGAGGAAAAGAAACUAACAAGGAUUCCCUCAGUAACGGCGAGUGAAGCGGGAAGAGCUCAAAUUUGAAAUCUUGAAAGGUCACCUUUCACGAAUUGUAGUUUAAAGAAGUGUUUUCUGUUACGAUCGUAAUAUAAGUUCUUUGGAAUAGGACAUCACAGAGGGUGAGAAUCCCGUCUAUGACCUUUCGAUUUGUAACUUUGUGAUACACUUUCAAAGAGUCGGGAUUGUUUGGGAAUGCAGUCCCAAAACUGGGUAGGUAAAUUUCAUUCUAAGGCUAAAUAUUGGCGAGAGACCGAUAGCGAACAAGUACCGUGAGGGAAAGAUGAAAAGAACUUUGAAAAGAGAGUUAAACAGUACGUGAAAUUGUCAAAAGGGAAGCGUUUGACACCAGUGUUGUUUUCUCGAAAAUCAAUUAAAAAUGGCUCGAUUUUGUAUUGCUUGAGACCUUAAAAGCUCACUGUACAGUUUUUCGUGUCUUUUUUAAUGCACUUUUCGUUUAACAAGUCAACAUCAGUUUCUUUUGUUGUAAAAGGGUCAUUGGAAGGUGGCUUUCUUUUCGGAGAAAGUGUUUAUAGCCUUUGGCCUCUGCAAUCGGAGAGACUGAGGUCUGCAGCGUAGACUCUUCGGGGUUAGAUACAUUUGUGCUAAGUUAUAGCUUUUUAUAGACAACUUGUUGACUAUAAUUAGUCUUGUAGCUUACUCGCUUAUGCUAUUUUACCUACGCUUAGGAUGUUGACGCAUGAGAUAUACGC
rnacentral:rRNA from 1 species